GACGAACGCUGGCGGCGUGCUUAACACAUGCAAGUCGAACGGAAAGGCCCUGCUUUUGUGGGGUGCUCGAGUGGCGAACGGGUGAGUAACACGUGAGUAACCUGCCCUUGACUUUGGGAUAACUUCAGGAAACUGGGGCUAAUACCGGAUAGGAGCUCCUGCUGCAUGGUGGGGGUUGGAAAGUUUCGGCGGUUGGGGAUGGACUCGCGGCUUAUCAGCUUGUUGGUGGGGUAGUGGCUUACCAAGGCUUUGACGGGUAGCCGGCCUGAGAGGGUGACCGGCACCAUGGGGGUGGGGAACGGGCCCGAACCCUACGGGGGGGAGGGGUGGGGGAUAUUGCACAAAGGGGGGGAGCCUGAUGCAGCAACGCCGCGUGCGGGAUGACGGCCUUCGGGUUGUAAACCGCUUUCGCCUGUGACGAAGCGUGAGUGACGGUAAUGGGUAAAGAAGCACCGGCUAACUACGUG
rnacentral:rRNA from 1 species